UACGAAGGGGGCUAGCGUUGUUCGGAUUUACUGGGCGUAAAGCGCACGUAGGCGGAUCGUUAAGUCGGGGGUGAAAUCCUGGAGCUCAACUCCAGAACUGCCUUCGAUACUGGCGAUCUUGAGUCCGGAAGAGGUGAGUGGAACUCCUAGUGUAGAGGUGGAAUUCGUAGAUAUUAGGAAGAACACCAGUGGCGAAGGCGACUUUCUGGCCUAUAACUGACGCUGAGGCGCGAAAGCGUGGGGAGCAAACAGG
rnacentral:rRNA from 1 species